rnacentral:rRNA from 1 species
UACGUAGGUGGCAAGCGUUGUUCGGAUUUAUUGGGCGUAAAGGGCGCGUAGGCGGUUUUGUAAGUCAGCUGUGAAAGCCCGGGGCUCAACCCCGGAGGGUCGGCUGAUACUGCAGGACUAGAGUACGGAAGAGGUAGCUGGAAUUCCCGGUGUAGCGGUGAAAUGCGCAGAUAUCGGGAAGAACACCCGUGGCGAAGGCGGUUCUCUGGGACGGUACUGACGCUGAGACGCGAAAGCGUGGGGAGCGAACAGG